ACCGCGAAGCCUAUUUGGGAUACCCAUUUAAAUGGGAGUUGAUUAAGGAUUUAACUUAAGGUUAAUUAACUUAAACCUAAGUUUUAUUUUCUUUAAAUUUUUCUCCCGAUUCACUUCCUUCCCCGAUCCCUUCUUCCCUGACUCCCCUCCCUCGCGAUCCGAUUUCAUCGCCAGUCGUCGGGAAGCGACGCCGAUCGCCGGCACAAGGCAGCCCUUGAUCGUUGAGGAGGAAAGCUACCGCCCCGACCUCUCCCCUUUCUCUCUCCCUCGCCGCGAGUCUCUUUUCUCCCGAGCCCCGAGCCCCUUUCUCUCGAUUUCUCCUCGUCGAUCGUCGACCCACGAGACGUCGGAGCCAAGCUCGCAAGGUCUCCGAUCACCUCUCCUCACCGGAUCUUGAAGGUACUAAAGAUGUCCAAGCCAUCUCUGGAGGUGUGAUCGCUUCCUCGGUUGGUCCUUUUCCCCGUCCAGGAGAUCCGAUUAGGGUUCAAUGAGGGGCAUAGAUCCGCGUCGUCUCAAGCCAAUUGAACUUCUCAUUCAUCCUCUUCAAUUCGUUUGCUGGAGAGUGAUCGGUUGCUCUUCAUCAACCGGAUUGGAGUAGGCGAUGGCACCUGGAAAGGACCAAAUCUAGGUUGUUCUUGUUCUGGAUUGGAGGAAGGCAUCGGAUCAAGGUAUUGGUAGAUUUCUCUCCUGCCGAUCACUGCUUCUCCACUUCUUGAAGCUGUGGAGGUCACGGGUGAGGAGGCAAGGGACUAUUGAGGUGAGUUUUGUAUUAUGAAUUAGGGUUUAAGCAAAUCAUUUGCUGUAUGGUUGGAUUAUGGAUUUAUUCUAGGGAGGAUAGGUGUGUGUGUGUGCUUGUAGCUUAUGGACAGGGGUCAUGGGGUUGUGAGCUACUGGAUUAGCUGCUUCAUCUUAAGGACUUGGAUUCGGGACGAG